rnacentral:tRNA from 1 species
AAGGGCAUAGUUCAAUAGGUAGAAUGGCGGUCUCCAAAACCGUCUGUUGCAGGUUCGAUUCCUGCCGCCCUUGCCA